GAUGAAGGAACGCAGCGAAACGCGAUAGGUAAUGUGAAUUGCAGAAUUCCGUGAAUCAUCGAAUCUUUGAACGCACAUUGCGCCUGCUGGUAUUCCGGUAGGCAUGCCUGUUCGAGCGUCAGCAAAACCUCUCAGCGAUAAAUUUUAUUGUUGGUUAUGGGCUGCGGAGGACUAGCCUUUAUGGCUGCUCCCGCCUUAAACUUGCUGCACGACCGCAAGCUAAUGCUAGGUUAAUGAAGUGGUGUUUACAUAUAUUUCAGCGACCGUUCAUGGCUUUGUGGCGUUAAAAAUUGAAUGUUGCCUUAUGGUGACUUUCUUGACUUUUGACCUCGAAUCAGACAAGGAUACCCGCUGAACUUAAGCAUAUCAAUAAGCGGAGGA
rnacentral:misc_RNA from 1 species